CAGCAGCCGCGGGAAUACGAAGGGUGCAAGCGUUAAUCGGAAUUACUGGGCGUAAAGCGUGCGUAGGUGGUGGUUUAAGUCCGUUGUGAAAGCCCUGGGCUCAACCUGGGAAUUGCAGUGGAUACUGGGUCACUAGAGUGUGGUAGAGGAUAGUGGAAUUUCCGGUGUAGCAGUGAAAUGCGUAGAGAUCGGGAGGAACAUCAGUGGCGAAGGCGGCCAUCUGGGACAACACUGACGCUGAGGCACGAAAGCGUGGGGAGCAAACAGGAUUAGAUACCCCAGUAGUCCCUGUCUCUUAUAA
rnacentral:rRNA from 1 species